rnacentral:rRNA from 1 species
UUAAGCGACUAAGCGUACACGGUGGAUGCCCUGGCAGUCAGAGGCGAUGAAGGACGUGCUAAUCUGCGAAAAGCGUCGGUAAGGUGAUAUGAACCGUUAUAGCCGGCGAUGUCCGAAUGGGGAAACCCAGUGUGAUUCGUCACACUAUCGUUAACUGAAUACAUAGGUUAACGAGGCGAACCGGGGGAACUGAAACAUCUAAGUACCCCGAGGAAAAGAAAUCAACCGAGAUUCCCCCAGUAGCGGCGAGCGAACGGGGAGCAGCCCAGAGUCUGAAUCAGCUUGUGUGUUAGUGGAACGGUCUGGAAAGUCCGACGGUACAGGGUGAUAGUCCCGUACACCAAAAUGCACAGGCUGUGAACUCGAAGAGUAGGGCGGGACACGUGGUAUCCUGUCUGAAUAUGGGGGGACCAUCCUCCAAGGCUAAAUACUCCUGACUGACCGAUAGUGAACCAGUACCGUGAGGGAAAGGCGAAAAGAACCCCGGCGAGGGGAGUGAAAAAGAACCUGAAACCGUGUACGUACAAGCAGUGGGAGCACCUUCGGGUGUGACUGCGUACCUUUUGUAUAAUGGGUCAGCGACUUAUAUUCUGUAGCAAGGUUAACCGUAUAGGGGAGCCGCAGGGAAACCGAGUCUUAACUGGGCGUUAAGUUGCAGGGUAUAGACCCGAAACCCGGUGAUCUAGCCAUGGGCAGGUUGAAGGUUGGGUAACACUAACUGGAGGACCGAACCGACUAAUGUUGAAAAAUUAGCGGAUGACUUGUGGCUGGGGGUGAAAGGCCAAUCAAACCGGGAGAUAGCUGGUUCUCCCCGAAAGCUAUUUAGGUAGCGCCUCGUGAACUCAUCUUCGGGGGUAGAGCACUGUUUCGGCUAGGGGGUCAUCCCGACUUACCAACCCGAUGCAAACUACGAAUACCGAAGAAUGUUAUCACGGGAGACACACGGCGGGUGCUAACGUCCGUCGUGAAGAGGGAAACAACCCAGACCGCCAGCUAAGGUCCCAAAGUCAUGGUUAAGUGGGAAACGAUGUGGGAAGGCACAGACAGCCAGGAUGUUGGCUUAGAAGCAGCCAUCAUUUAAAGAAAGCGUAAUAGCUCACUGGUCGAGUCGGCCUGCGCGGAAGAUGUAACGGGGCUAAACCAUGCACCGAAGCUGCGGCAGCGACACUAUGUGUUGUUGGGUAGGGGAGCGUUCUGUAAGCCUGCGAAGGUGACCUGUGAGGGUUGCUGGAGGUAUCAGAAGUGCGAAUGCUGACAUAAGUAACGAUAAAGCGGGUGAAAAGCCCGCUCGCCGGAAGACCAAGGGUUCCUGUCCAACGUUAAUCGGGGCAGGGUGAGUCGACCCCUAAGGCGAGGCCGAAAGGCGUAGUCGAUGGGAAACAGGUUAAUAUUCCUGUACUUGGUGUUACUGCGAAGGGGGGACGGAGAAGGCUAUGUUAGCCGGGCGACGGUUGUCCCGGUUUAAGCAUGUAGGCUGGUUAUCCAGGCAAAUCCGGAUAAUCAAGGCUGAGGUGUGAUGACGAGGCACUACGGUGCUGAAGUAACAAAUGCCCUGCUUCCAGGAAAAGCCUCUAAGCAUCAGGUAACAUCAAAUCGUACCCCAAACCGACACAGGUGGUCAGGUAGAGAAUACCAAGGCGCUUGAGAGAACUCGGGUGAAGGAACUAGGCAAAAUGGUGCCGUAACUUCGGGAGAAGGCACGCUGGUGUGUAGGUGAAGUCCCUGCGGAUGGAGCUGAGACCAGUCGAAGAUACCAGCUGGCUGCAACUGUUUAUUAAAAACACAGCACUGUGCAAACACGAAAGUGGACGUAUACGGUGUGACGCCUGCCCGGUGCCGGAAGGUUAAUUGAUGGGGUUAUCCGUAAGGAGAAGCUCUUGAUCGAAGCCCCGGUAAACGGCGGCCGUAACUAUAACGGUCCUAAGGUAGCGAAAUUCCUUGUCGGGUAAGUUCCGACCUGCACGAAUGGCGUAAUGAUGGCCAGGCUGUCUCCACCCGAGACUCAGUGAAAUUGAACUCGCUGUGAAGAUGCAGUGUACCCGCGGCAAGACGGAAAGACCCCGUGAACCUUUACUAUAGCUUGACACUGAACAUUGAGCCUUGAUGUGUAGGAUAGGUGGGAGGCUUUGAAGCGUGGACGCCAGUCUGCGUGGAGCCAACCUUGAAAUACCACCCUUUAAUGUUUGAUGUUCUAACGUUGGCCCCUUACCGGGGUUGCGGACAGUGUCUGGUGGGUAGUUUGACUGGGGCGGUCUCCUCCCAAAGCGUAACGGAGGAGCACGAAGGUUAGCUAAUCCUGGUCGGACAUCAGGAGGUUAGUGCAAUGGCAUAAGCUAGCUUGACUGCGAGCGUGACGGCGCGAGCAGGUGCGAAAGCAGGUCAUAGUGAUCCGGUGGUUCUGAAUGGAAGGGCCAUCGCUCAACGGAUAAAAGGUACUCCGGGGAUAACAGGCUGAUACCGCCCAAGAGUUCAUAUCGACGGCGGUGUUUGGCACCUCGAUGUCGGCUCAUCACAUCCUGGGGCUGAAGUAGGUCCCAAGGGUAUGGCUGUUCGCCAUUUAAAGUGGUACGCGAGCUGGGUUUAGAACGUCGUGAGACAGUUCGGUCCCUAUCUGCCGUGGGCGCUGGAGAAUUGAGGGGGGCUGCUCCUAGUACGAGAGGACCGGAGUGGACGCAUCACUGGUGUUCGGGUUGUCAUGCCAAUGGCACUGCCCGGUAGCUAAAUGCGGAAGAGAUAAGUGCUGAAAGCAUCUAAGCACGAAACUUGCCCCGAGAUGAGUUCUCCCUGAGACUUUAAGUCUCCUGAAGGAACGUUAAAGACGAUGACGUUGAUAGGCCGGGUGUGUAAGCGCAGCGAUGCGUUGAGCUAACCGGUACUAAUGAACCGUGAGGCUUAACCUU